rnacentral:lncRNA from 1 species
AUUUCAAAUACCACCUUUGAUAUCGUACUUUCUUUAUUUUAGUGCCCUAUAGUUUAAAAUAUAUUAAUUUAGUAUUCCCGUGGUUUUAUUUUUUAUUUUUAUUAUUCUCUCUACUAUUUUUUUUUUCGCUAAAUCAGUGACAAAAUUAAAACUAAAAAAAUACUAAACUAAAUAUUCGAUAAAUCUAGGUGAAGUAUCUUAGAUUUCUUUGUAUAUAAUUUAAUAAAAUGUUAAUGGAGGAACUGAUGAAAAGAGAAAAAUAUAUAAAACCAUAGAGUACUAAAUUAAUACAUUUUAAACUACAGAGUAGUAAAGUGAAGUUUACCCUUAUAAAGAAAAAGAUAACAUGCUAUCGUUUUAUUUAUUUUUAGAAAUAAAUUUAAUUAAAAAUAUAAAUUAAUUAGACUUCAAAGUUGAAAUUUUAGAUACCACCGAUUAAAUCUUACCGACUGUCCCUAGAGCAAGUGGCAAAGGAUUUGGUGGUUGGUAUCCGAGACCCAAGUUUGAAUCCUAGUUGUUUCACAUUUCUAACUAAGUUUAUUUCUAAAUGAAAUAAACGAAGCGGGUAGCGUACUAUCUAGCUCUAAAAAAAAAAGAUUAAAUUUUUUACCACUUUUGUUGGGGACAACAUUU